GACGAACGCUGGCGGCGUGCUUAACACAUGCAAGUCGAACGAUGAAGAAGAGACACGCUAACUUCGGUUCAAUUUUCACUUCGGAUUAGUGCCAGACGGGUGAGUAACGCGUGAGCAACCUACCUCUUACAAAGGGAUAUCCUCGGGAAACCGUGAUUAAUACCAUAUGACACAUUCAUAAGGCAUCUUAAGUAUGUUAAAGCUACGCCGGUAAGAGAUGGGCUCGCGUCCCAUUAGCUAGUUGGUGAGGUAACGGCCCACCAAGGCGACGAUGGGUAACCGGGCUGAGAGGGGGAACGGCAACAAUGGAAAUGAGACACGGUCCAAAAUACUACGGGAGGCAGCAGUGGGGAAUAUUGCACAAUGGAGGAAAGUCUGAUGAAGCAACGCCGCGUGAGAGAUGAAGGAAGUCGUAACGUAAAGCUAUGAUGGAAGGGAAGAAAAUGACGGUACCAGAAGAAAAAGCCCCGGCUAAAUACGUG
rnacentral:rRNA from 1 species